rnacentral:rRNA from 1 species
AUUGAACGCUGGCGGCAGGCCUAACACAUGCAAGUCGAACGGUAACAGGAAGAAGCUUGCUUCUUUGCUGACGAGUGGCGGACGGGUGAGUAAUGUCUGGGAAACUGCCUGAUGGAGGGGGAUAACUACUGGAAACGGUAGCUAAUACCGCAUAAUGUCGCAAGACCAAAGAGGGGGACCUUCGGGCCUCUUGCCAUCGGAUGUGCCCAGAUGGGAUUAGCUAGUAGGUGGGGUAACGGCUCACCUAGGCGACGAUCCCUAGCUGGUCUGAGAGGAUGACCAGCCACACUGGAACUGAGACACGGUCCAGACUCCUACGGGAGGCAGCAGUGGGGAAUAUUGCACAAUGGGCGCAAGCCUGAUGCAGCUAUGCCGCGUGUAUGAAGAAGGCCUUCGGGUUGUAAAGUACUUUCAGCGGGGAGGAAGGGGGUAAAGUUAAUACCUUUGCUCAUUGACAUUACCCGCAGAAGAAGCACCGGCUAACUCCGUG